AGGAAGUAAAAGUCGUAACAAGGUUUCCGUAGGUGAACCUGCGGAAGGAUCAUUAUCGAAUGUUCAGAGGCGACUGCUGCUGGCUCCUCUAAUGAGGAUGCAUGUGCGCGUCCCUCGCCUUUCAUCCAACAUACACUUGUGCACUAUAGGACGAGCGCCUUCCAUUAGGAGCCGCUCCACGCAACCUCUCUCUCCGGAGGGGGGUGGGGUGGGGUCGAGGUCUCGAUCCUCUUUAUACAUCAACCAUCCUGUCUCUAAUGCAUGUAACGAUAUUUUCUUAAACGAAAUACAACUUUCAACAACGGAUCUCUUGGCUUUCGCAUCGAUGAAGGACGCCGCGAAAGUGCGAAACGUAAUGUGAAUUGCAGAAUUCAGUGAAUCAUCGAAUCUUUGAACGCAUCUUGCGCUCCUUGGUAUUCCGAGGAGCAUGCCUGUUUGAGUGUCGUGAAAUCUCUCAGCCUCAGUCCUUUUAUCGGGGCAAAGGGUUGGAUUUGGACGUUGCAGUCUUUUCAAAGUCUGCUCGUCUUGAAAUGCAUUAGCGUUCCGCCGCGAGUUCGGUUUCGUACGACGGUGUGAUAAGUAACACUUUGACGCCGUCUGGACCGAGUCUUCGAGGAUGCUUCUAAUCGUCUUAGGACAACUUCAUGUCAUCUGACCUCAAAUCAGGUAGGACUACCCGCCGAACUUAAGCAUAUCA
rnacentral:rRNA from 1 species